rnacentral:rRNA from 1 species
UACGUAGGGUGCAAGCGUUGUCCGGAAUUAUUGGGCGUAAAGAGCUCGUAGGUGGUCUAUCACGUCGGAUGUGAAACCCUGAGGCUCAACCUCAGGCCUGCAUUCGAUACGGGCAGACUAGAGUGUGGUAGGGGAGACUGGAAUUCCUGGUGUAGCGGUGAAAUGCGCAGAUAUCAGGAGGAACACCGGUGGCGAAGGCGGGUCUCUGGGCCAUUACUGACGCUGAGGCACGAAAGCGUGGGUAGCGAAUGGG